rnacentral:rRNA from 1 species
GUGGGGAAUCUUGCGCAAUGGGCGAAAGCCUGACGCAGCCAUGCCGCGUGAAUGAUGAAGGUCUUAGGAUUGUAAAAUUCUUUCACCGGGGACGAUAAUGACGGUACCCGGAGAAGAAGCUCCGGCUAACUUCGUGCCAGCAGCCGCGGUAAUACGAAGGGGGCUAGCGUUGCUCGGAAUUACUGGGCGUAAAGGGCGCGUAGGCGGACAGUUUAGUCAGAGGUGAAAGCCCAGGGCUCAACCUGGGAAUUGCCUUUGAUACUGGCUGUCUUGAGUACGGGAGAGGUGAGUGGAACUCCGAGUGUAGAGGUGAAAUUCGUAGAUAUUCGGAAGAACACCAGUGGCGAAGGCGACUCACUGGCCCGUUACUGACGCUGAGGCGCGAAAGCGUGGGGAGCAAACAGGAUUAGAAACCCGUGUAGUCC